ACUCGCUUGACGGAGCGCGAGUAAUACCUCGCUGAGAUUGUGUCAGUGCUGAUCUUCAUCAGCACUUAAACAUAAGUACCGUUGAACCUGAUCAGGUUAAGACCUGCGUAGGAAUCAAGCCCUCUCAAAAG
rnacentral:ncRNA from 1 species